rnacentral:rRNA from 1 species
GAAGGUGUGCUGUGAGGCAUGCUGGAGGUAUCAGAAGUGCGAAUGCUGACAUAAGUAACGAUAAAGCGGGUGAAAAGCCCGCUCGCCGGAAGACCAAGGGUUCCUGUCCAACGUUAAUCGGGGCAGGGUGAGUCGACCCCUAAGGCGAGGCCGAAAGGCGUAGUCGAUGGGAAACAGGUUAAUAUUCCUGUACUUGGUGUUACUGCGAAGGGGGGACGGAGAAGGCUAUGUUGGCCGGGCGACGGUUGUCCCGGUUUAAGCGUGUAGGCUGGUUUUCCAGGCAAAUCCGGAAAAUCAAGGCUGAGGCGUGAUGACGAGGCACUACGGUGCUGAAGCAACAAAUGCCCUGCUUCCAGGAAAAGCCUCUAAGCA